UACGGAGGGGGCGAGCGUUGUUCGGAAUCAUUGGGCGUAAAGGGCGCGUAGGCGGCCUCGCAAGUCAGAUGUGAAAGCCCCUGGCUUAACCAGGGAACUGCAUCUGAGACUGCAAGGCUUGAAUCCGGGAGGGGAGAGUGGAAUUCCCAGUGUAGCGGUGAAAUGCGUAGAUAUUGGGAGGAACACCGGUGGCGAAGGCGGCUCUCUGGACCGGUAUUGACGCUGAGGCGCGAAAGCUAGGGGAGCAAACGGG
rnacentral:rRNA from 1 species